CAGCCGUAAACUAUGCGCGUUAGGUGUAUCGGUGACCACGAGUUACCGAGGUGCCGAAGGGAAACCGUGAAACGUGCCGCCUGGGAAGUACGGUCGCAAGGCUGAAACUUAAAGGAAUUGGCGGGGGAGCACCACAACAGGUGGAGCCUGCGGUUUAAUUGGACUCAACGCCGGACAUCUCACCAGGAGCGACAGCUGUAUGAUUACCAGGUUGAUGACCUUGUUUGACUAGCUGAGAGGUGGUGCCAUGGCGUCAGUGACU
rnacentral:rRNA from 1 species